UCUAUAGAAACGAGGAAAAAAACAAAAAGCAAAAGUGAUCUCUGUUUUAGCCAUCUCUUCUCUCAUCAAGAUAGCGUUGUGGAGUCUGUUUCUAUCGUUCGUUUUUUCUUUGUUUUAACACAAACGAUCCUCAAGUGGGUUUGCGCUGCUCUUUAUUUACAUCAAUGGAAACCAUUUAGAUAAGAACGGAAAUAUUGCAGAAAAAAUCUGAAGAAGGCGAUCCUUUGAUACGAGAGUUGUGUGUUUGAUCAUGGCGGUUGCUGAGAAUGCUGGGGUAAAAAACGGCACUUCCGGUCAAAAUUUUGACGGCACUGUAGUAUCAUCGGACUCAAAAGGAGCAAACGAUCUCGAAAGAUCAAAACCCAGAAAUGAAUCGGUGGUCAACACUAAGGAAUCAAACUUUCAGACCCAUGAUUAUGAUCAGAGUGUUAACGGUCAGUGUGAGCACCAAGAGAGUGCAACUGCAGCUGCCCCUUUAAGCAAUGGCAAGACUGGUGGGACCCAGAUGCAGACCCGGUUCGACAUCAGUCAGCAGCAGAUGGUGGCAAAGGCUGUUGGGUAUGAGACAAAUCAGAUUCAAAGGGCUAAAUCCAAUGGGUUGAACGAUAUGAGCGAUUUGGUUGAGAUUUUGUCCAAAUUGAAUCCCAUGGCUGAAGAGUUUGUCCCUCCUUCGCUUGUUACCAAUCAUGGCUAUCUGGGAAAUGGGUUUGGGUACACUAACAAAUUUGCAGUGCAAGCUACUCCUGGGAAUGCCAAUGGACAUACUACUAAAAGGAAGAAGAACAACUAUAAUCAAGGAAGGCGAAGGAUGAACAGUAGGACUUGUAUGGCUCAGCGUGAGGAUGUAAUUAGGAGGACUGUUUAUGUUUCUGACAUUGAUCAACAGGUUACUGAAGAACAGCUUGCGGGUCUCUUUGUUCAUUGUGGGCAGGUGGUUGAUUGUCGAAUAUGUGGUGAUCCUAAUUCUGUUCUUCGAUUUGCCUUCAUUGAAUUCACGGAUGAAGAAGGGGCUAAGGCUGCUUUAAAUUUGUCUGGGACAGUGCUUGGAUAUUACCCGCUUAGGGUACUGCCUUCCAGAACUGCAAUUGCUCCUGUUAACCCCACAUUUUUGCCAAGGUCUGAAGAUGAGCGCGAGAUGUGCGCAAGAACUGUUUACUGUACAAAUAUUGACAAGAAGGUUACUCAGGCAGAUGUCAGACUCUUCUUUGAAUCUUUUUGUGGAGGGGUUCAACGCUUGAGGCUUCUUGGGGACUAUCAUCAUUCAACACGUAUUGCUUUUGUUGAGUUCAAAGUGCUAGAUGGUGAUCCUGUUGGUUAUUGAUUCUGUCAUUCAUCGCAAGCUCCCAGUCCCAACAAUGGCAAGUGAUACCUAAUGUUGAGUGAAUGGGUUUGCUAAUUUGGUGUUUCAAAAUGCGUACCGCAACGUUUUGGGACGCAAACAUCCUGUGAUCUGAGACUCGCGAUUUGGAAUGCGGAACCUAGGUGAAGGCUGAAAGCGCAAUUUCGGCACUUAACUGUAGUGGUGUUGUCCUGGGAUCUUUGCCAAUAAGGGUGAGCCCAUCAAAGACCCCUGUUCGGCCUCGCAUUCCUUGCUCUCCAUUGCAUUGAAUCAUGCUUAACGCUUCAUGGACUAAUCAACUGCUGAUAGAUAUAUUUAUGUAUACAUAUAUAGAUACUGAAAUAUUUUGAAGGUACUUGUGGCGUUUAUGUCUAUCAUUUUGUCCUUGCAUCUCAGCCCGGUAUCUUGUUUCCUAUAGGGGGUUGUUUCUGUUUCUGUUUCUGUUGUUAGAGGUGGAUGGGAUUCUGAGGAUCUGAAUGGCUUUAUUUACGUUGCACAAUUGAAAAUCAAAAAAUGACUCAUUUUACGA